CGGGCGGCCGUGACCCUGCUGGAGUGGGGGGGAGGCCUCCAGGCCCCCGGAGGGUCCCUGCGCCUCCACUGCCGAGGGUCUGGGUUCAGUUUCGGGGGUUCCUCCAAGUACUGGAUCCGCCAGAGACCCGGGCAGGGGCUGGAGUGGCUGGCGGGGAUCAGUUUAGAUGGUUCCAGCAUCUACUACGCGCCAUCGGUCAAGGGCCGGUUCAGGAUCUCCAGGGACAACGGGCAGAGCUCGGUGACGCUGACCAUGAAAAACCUCAAGGACGAGGAUUCCGGAUCCUAUUUCUGCGCCAACUGUGUUGAUGAUCGUGCUGAAGGUGUCUCCAUCGUAGUCAAUGCUCGCAAUCCAUUCCAGCCCCUGUCCAGGCCUCUGGCGAACCCAAGUAAAACUGGUUUGUCCGAAAUUGAACCCAGACCCUCGGCAGAGGAGGCGCAGGGAUCCGCCGGGGAGCUUGUCCCGCAGAGCUCCAGGUGGUCGUGA